rnacentral:rRNA from 1 species
GACGAACGCUGGCGGCGUGCUUAACACAUGCAAGUCGAACGGAAAGGCCCUGCUUUUGUGGGGUGCUCGAGUGGCGAACGGGUGAGUAACAUGUGAGUAACCUGCCCUUGACUUUGGGAUAACUUCAGGAAACUGGGGCUAAUACCGGAUAGGAGCUCCUGCUGCAUGGUGGGGGUUGGAAAGUUUCGGCGGUUGGGGAUGGACUCGCGGCUUAUCAGCUUGUUGGUGGGGUAGUGGCUUACCAAGGCUUUGACGGGUAGCCGGCCUGAGAGGGUGACCGGCCACAUUGGGACUGAGAUACGGCCCAGACUCCUACGGGAGGCAGCAGUGGGGAAUAUUGCACAAUGGGCGGAAGCCCGAUGCAGCAACGCCGCGUGCGGGAUGACGGCCUUCGGGUUGUAAACCGCUUUCGCCUGUGACGAAGCGUGAGUGACGGUAAUGGGUAAAGAAGCACCGGCUAACUACGUG